AGUCGAACGAGAGAGAGGGAGCUUGCCUCCUCGAUCGAGUGGCGAACGGGUGAGUAACGCGUGAGGAACCUGCCUCAAAGAGGGGGACAACAGUUGGAAACGACUGCUAAUACCGCAUAAGCCCACGGCUCGGCAUCGAGCAGAGGGAAAAGGAGCAAUCCGCUUUGAGAUGGCCUCGCGUCCGAUUAGCUAGUUGGUGAGGUAACGGCCCACCAAGGCGACGAUCGGUAGCCGGACUGAGAGGUUGAACGGCCACAUUGGGACUGAGACACGGCCCAGACUCCUACGGGAGGCAGCAGUGGGGAAUAUUGCACAAUGGGGGAAACCCUGAUGCAGCGACGCCGCGUGGAGGAAGAAGGUCUUCGGAUUGUAAACUCCUGUUGUUGAGGAAGAUAAUGACGGUACUCAACAAGGAAGUGACGGCUAACUACGUGCCAGCAGCCGCGGUAAAACGUAGGUCACAAGCGUUGUCCGGAAUUACUGGGUGUAAAGGGAGCGCAGGCGGGCGAUCAAGUUGGAAGUGAAAUCCAUGGGCUCAACCCAUGAACUGCUUUCAAAACUGAUUGUCUUGAGUAGUGCAGAGGUAGGCGGAAUUCCCGGUGUAGCGGUGGAAUGCGUAGAUAUCGGGAGGAACACCAGUGGCGAAGGCGGCCUACUGGGCACCAACUGACGCUGAGGCUCGAAAGUGUGGGUAGCAAACAGGAUUAGAUACCCUGGUAGUCCACACCGUAAACGAUGAUUACUAGGUGUUGGAGGAUUGACCCCUUCAGUGC
rnacentral:rRNA from 1 species